UGGGGUUUCGGCUCAGUGGUAGGGCGCUUGUCUUGCAUGCAUGUGGCACUGGGUUUGAUUCUCAGCACCACAU
rfam:Ictidomys tridecemlineatus contig031697, whole genome shotgun sequence.